rnacentral:rRNA from 1 species
UACGAAGGGGGCUAGCGUUGCUCGGAAUUACUGGGCGUAAAGGGCGCGUAGGCGGCCGCCUAAGUCAGACGUGAAAUCCCUCGGCUCAACCGGGGAACUGCGUCUGAUACUGGGUGGCUUGAAUCCGGGAGAGGGAUGCGGAAUUCCAGGUGUAGCGGUGAAAUGCGUAGAUAUCUGGAGGAACACCGGUGGCGAAGGCGGCAUCCUGGACCGGCAUUGACGCUGAGGCGCGAAAGCCAGGGGAGCAAACGGG